UACGGAGGGUGCGAGCGUUGUCCGGAAUCACUGGGCGUAAAGGGCGCGUAGGUGGCCUGUGGAAGUCUGCGGUGAAAGCCCGGCGCUCAACGCCGGGUCGGCCGUGGAUACUCUCGGGCUUGAGCUCACUAGAGGCAGAUGGAAUUCCGGGUGUAGCGGUGGAAUGCGUAGAGAUCCGGAGGAACACCGAAGGCGAAGGCAGUGUCCUGGCGAGUGACUGACGCUGAGGUGCGAAAGCCAGGGGAGCGAACGGG
rnacentral:rRNA from 1 species